rnacentral:rRNA from 1 species
UACAGAGGUCUCAAGCGUUGUUCGGAUUCAUUGGGCGUAAAGGGUGCGUAGGUGGCGCUGUAAGUCAGGUGUGAAAUUUCGGAGCUCAACUUCGAAACUGCAUUUGAUACUGCGGUGCUUGAGGACUGGAGAGGAGACUGGAAUUUACGGUGUAGCAGUGAAAUGCGUAGAGAUCGUAAGGAAGACCAGUGGCGAAGGCGGGUCUCUGGGCAUUAACUGACGCUGAGGAGCGAAAGCAUGGGGAGCGAACAGG